rnacentral:lncRNA from 1 species
ACUCAGUUCAACUUCUGAGCGCACUGGGCUGUGGCUUCACUAUACAUCUGCCUUGUGGUCCUUGAGUAUUUUGAGUCAUUCUGGAAUGGAAACAACCGGCUCCUUUCAUCCCACGGCUGGGUUAGGAGACUGGUGAACUCACUUCUGUGGGGCAAGGUCUCACCGAGAAGACUGUGACUUAGUGCUCAAGUCUAUGGCUUCACAACACCCUGUGAUCAGAAAGUCCUGGGAGACAGAGAUGGGGAUGGGGAUGGGAGGGACAUGGGAAUGGGGAGGGGGACGGAGACAGAGAUGGAGAUAGAGCUAGACAGAGAGACAGACAGACAGACAGACAGAGAGAAAGACAGAGACAGAGAGAUAGACAGACACAGAGACACACACAGACAGAGACAGUCAGAGACACAGAAAGAGACAGAGAGAUGAACAGAGAGAUAGAGAGACAAACAGACACAGAGAAACACACACAGACAGAGACACAAAGAGAGACAGAGAAACAGACACAGACAGACACAGAGACACAAAGAGAGACAGAGAGAGACAGACACACACAGACAGGACAGCAGUGGGGGCCCAGGCAGUUCUAUGCCAGUGCAGCCCCGGCCCUGGAUUCCCCUAGCUGUGUUUUCAUCUCUGGAUCCCACCCAUGGUGAGUCCCUAGCAGUCAAACCACCAAGGCAGUGUGACGUUCACAGGCCUUGAGUUUCCCCGACCUCAGCUUUCCUCCUGAGACAUCAAGGGCUUGGUUCUACAGAGGGCUGUGCCCUGCUAGCCGCAGCUUCCUCUUUCACUAGCUGGGAGACCAUCUGGGCCUGCAGCGCGAUGGCGUCGUCAUUGGAGAAUGUUGUGUAAGCAGAAUACACAUGGUGGCUGCCCUGGAGACUCUACGCCUAGAUGGAUUUCUUGCACAUUCUUGAAGUUGCCACAAGCCAUCGGUAUCGCUUGUGUGCCUCCCAUGGUCUGCUUGGCACAUGCCUACUGAGGAGAGGUCAAAGGUCAUUUCCGGUUUUUGCAUUUAACCCUGUUUUGUGUGUUUAACAUCUUUAAAAAAAUUCUCCUUGUAGAUGGAGGGACAGAUCAUGGAGAUCCUUGUGGUGUGAGGGAGUGAGGUCCCAGCUGUCUUCUAGCACAAAGCCGCAGAGUAGGGGACGCUGGGAUUACCCAGGGCCUUUGCUGUCCACGGGAGGAGCCUUAGUCUGACAGGAUAGCACUGCUCUGGAGACGCGAAACCAGGAGAACUUACUCACCUCUCCCUGUGGCCUGCUGUGAGGUCUGUAAACCCUCCAGCACUCAGUCUAUAGCAGCAUCAGGAGGUGAGAGGCCGCUCCUUGCUCUCAGGGAAGAUAGCCAGUGCCGGACCAGGGGCUCACAGCACGAACUAGAGCCUUUCACAUAGCCUGAGCUCUGUCUGACAGAGAUUUGGGGAUCAUCUAGGGCGAAGAGGAAUGCUCACCUCAAACUGGAAGACAGGGGAAUUGGAGAGUCGCAUACAGACGGUGACUUUCCAUCACUUUUCCUGGCCAAGGGCUCUAACUAGAAGGGGGAAGCAGAAUUCAUGAGUGUCCUUGCUGUGUCUGCCCCAGAGGCUCACAGCUGCCUCCACUGGGGGUUCACGUUCUUCACUGCUUGGCUCCAGAGAGUGAAGUUUGUGAGGUGUGCGUUCUUUAGCCAAUUCAGCCUCAACAGGCUAAAUAGAAGGGCGGCUCAGUUUGAGGGAGGGGAAGGGAUGUGUCAGGCCUGAGCGUGGUGUGGCUAGUGUCCUUAGUGUCCCCAAGGCUGUUUUCCAUAAGAACGGGGGUUUAGAUUCUUCCAUGGGUGGCCACAGUAGCUAUGCAAGAAGGUCUCUGUGUGCCUCUCAUCUUUUUACAAGGCUCUGUCCUUCUGUAGAAGGACAGCUCACUAGCACCCAGGGAACCACAUAGGAGGGAACACUGGGGCUGGGCCUGGCUGGGUGUGUCUGUUGUCUCACAGGCUGG